GCUCUGGGGUCUGAUACCCAGGGCUUCAGCUGUCACUCAGAUGUGGGGGCGGGGCCUAGCAUUUCAUCCAAUCAGAGGCGCGGGGGCGUGGCCCUGCGCACAGUUCAUCCGGAAAUGUAGGGGGUUAUGUUCCUCCCCACACGUUUGUCGCUGUGCGGGCGGCGGUUGGGAUCCGUCCGGUCUGUCCAGCCGGAGAGGGACCUGGUGCCUGUACCCAGGUUUCUGUCGCUCAGUCACCUGUGCUAUUCCCUGCUCUAGUCACAGGAGCUGUUGAGAGGACGCCGCCUGAAAGCCAGGAAAUGUUUCCAUUAAUUGGAGACGCAUGGCAGGUCAGCUAAUCGGAUGUUGCUAUUGAGGAAAAG